GAUGAACGCUGGCGGCGUGCCUAAUACAUGCAAGUCGAGCGAACAGACGAGGAGCUUGCUCCUCUGACGUUAGCGGCGGACGGGUGAGUAACACGUGGAUAACCUACCUAUAAGACUGGGAUAACUUCGGGAAACCGGAGCUAAUACCGGAUAAUAUAUUGAACCGCAUGGUUCAAUAGUGAAAGACGGUUUUGCUGUCACUUAUAGAUGGAUCCUCGCCGCAUUAGCUAGUUGGUAAGGUAACGGCUUACCAAGGCAACGAUGCGUAGCCGACCUGAGAGGGUGAUCGGCCACACUGGAACUGAGACACGGUCCAGACUCCUACGGGAGGCAGCAGUAGGGAAUCUUCCGCAAUGGGCGAAAGCCUGACGGAGCAACGCCGCGUGAGUGAUGAAGGUCUUCGGAUCGUAAAACUCUGUUAGUAGGGAAGAACAAAUGUGUAAGUAACUAUGCACGUCUUGACGGUACCUAAUCAGAAAGCCACGGCUAACUACGUG
rnacentral:rRNA from 1 species